AGCGAACGCUGGCGGCAGGCUUAACACAUGCAAGUCGAGCGCCCCGCAAGGGGAGCGGCCGACGGGAGAGUAACACGUGGGAACAUACCUUUUGGUUCGGAACAACUGAGGGAAACUUCAGCUAAUACCGGAUAAGCCCUUACGGGGAAAGAUUUAUCGCCGAAAGAUUGGCCCGCGUCUGAUUAGCUAGUUGGUGAGGUAACGGCUCACCAAGGCGACGAUCAGUAGCUGGUCUGAGAGGAUGAUCAGCCUCACUGGGACUGAGACACGGCCCAGACUCCUACGGGAGGCAGCAGUGGGGAAUAGUGGACAAUGGGGGCAACCCUGAUCCAGCCAUGCCGCGUGAGUGAUGAAGGCCUUAGGGUUGUAAAGCUCUUUUGCCCGGGAAGAUAAUGACGGUACCGGGAGAAUAAGCCCCGGCUAACUUCGUG
rnacentral:rRNA from 1 species